rnacentral:misc_RNA from 1 species
GAUGAAGAACGCAGCGAAAUGCGAUAAGUAAUGUGAAUUGCAGAAUUCAGUGAAUCAUCGAAUCUUUGAACGCACAUUGCGCCCCCUGGUAUUCCGGGGGGCAUGCCUGUCCGAGCGUCAUUACAACCCUCAAGCUCAGCUUGGUGUUGGGCCCCGCCGCCCCGGCGGGCCCUAAAGUCAGUGGCGGUGCCGUCCGGCUCCGAGCGUAGUAAUUCUUCUCGCUCUGGAGGUCCGGUCGUGUGCUCGCCAGCAACCCCCAAUUUUUUUCAGGUUGACCUCGGAUCAGGUAGGGAUACCCGCUGAACUUAAGCAUAUCAAUAAGCGAAGGA